rnacentral:misc_RNA from 1 species
UACGUAGGGUGCGAGCGUUGAUCGGAAUUACUGGGCGUAAAGCGCUCGUAGGCGGUUUGGUAAGCUGGAUGUGAAAGCCCAGGGCUCAACCUUGGAAUUGCAUUUAGAACUGGUAAGCUAGAGUUUUGAAGAGGGUGGUAGAAUUUCCAGUGUAGCGGUGAAAUGCGUAGAUAUUGGAAGGAAUACCAGUGGCGAAGGCGGACACCGGGUCAAAAACUGACGCUGAGGAGCGAAAGCGUGGGGAGCAAACAGG